rnacentral:rRNA from 1 species
UUACCUACGGGGGGCAGCAGUGAGGAAUAUUGGUCAAUGGGCGGGAGCCUGAACCAGCCAAGCCGCGUGAGGGAAGAAGGUACAGCGUAUCGUAAACCUCUUUUGUCAGGGAACAAAGGCGGGGACUAGUCCCCGGAUGAGGGUACCUGAAGAAAAAGCAUCGGCUAACUCCGUGCCAGCAGCCGCGGUAAUACGUAGGUGGCAAGCGUUAUCCGGAAUUAUUGGGCGUAAAGAGCGCGCAGGUGGUUAAUUAAGUCUGAUGUGAAAGCCCACGGCUUAACCGUGGAGGGUCAUUGGAAACUGGU